GCACAAGCGGUGGAUGAUGUGGUUAAUUCGAUGCAACGCGAAAACCUUACCACCUUUGACAUGGCAGGAAGUUACCAGAGAUGGUUUCGUGCUCGAAAGAGAACCUGCACACAGGUGCUGCAUGGCUGUCGUCAGCUCGUGUCGUGAGAUGUUGGGUUAAGUCCCGCAACGAGCGCAACCCUUGCCAUCAGUUGCUACGAAAGGGCACUCUAAUGGGACUGCCGGUGACAAACCGGAGGAAGGUGGGGAUGACGUCAAGUCCUCAUGGCCCUUAUAGGUGGGGCUACACACGUCAUACAAUGGCUGGUACAGAGGGUUGCCAACCCGCGAGGGGGAGCCAAUCCCAUAAAGCCAGUCGUAGUCCGGAUCGCAGUCUGCAACUCGACUGCGUGAAGUCGGAAUCGCUAGUAAUCGCGGAUCAGAAUGUCGCGGUGAAUACGUUCCCGGGUCUU
rnacentral:rRNA from 1 species